rnacentral:rRNA from 1 species
UGGGGAAUAUUGCACAAUGGAGGGAACUCUGAUGCAGCGACGCCGCGUGAACGAAGAAUGCUUUCGAGUCGUAAAUUUCUUUUAUAUGGGAAGAUAAUGACGGUACCAUAAGAAGAAGCCCCGGCUAACUACGUGCCAGCAGCCGCGGUAAUACGUAGGGGGCUAGCGUUGUCCGGAAUCACUGGGCGUAAAGGGUUCGCAGGCGGAAAUGCAAGUCAGGUGUAAAAGGCAGUAGCUUAACUACUGUAAGCAUUUGAAACUGCAUAGCUUGAGAGGAGUAGAGGUAAGUGGGAUUUUUAGUGUAGCGGUGAAAUGCGUAGAUAUUAAAAAGAAUACCGGUGGCGAAGGCGACUUACUGGGCUCAUUCUGACGCUGAGGAACGAAAGCGUGGGUAGCAAACAGG